CAAAGCGUAGCUAAAUUAGAAAAGCAUCUCCCUUACACUGAAAAGUUACCUGUGCAAAUCAGGUCGCCUUGA
rnacentral:tRNA from 1 species